rnacentral:misc_RNA from 1 species
GCCGAUGAUGAGGACGUCUUACUGUAUAGUGCGACUGAGCAAGGAAGAUAUCGCCUACUCUCUCAAUUUUACCUCUAGCCUUUUUACUUUCUGUAAAACAUUUGGCCGUAUUAGUUUUGCUGAUUAGCAUUGUCACCCUCUCCUCUCUCUUGUCUAAAUUUACUCUCCUUGCUCCCCCUACUCUGCCCCCUCCCUCGGGGAUUACAGCGUGGUAUAAUUUAGUUCGAACCAGACUUUGAAAUGUUAUAGAAAAGGGCAUAAAAUUUUGCCCUAUACAUUUGUCUUUUCUUUUAGUUUAGGGGACUUAGUUCUGAAA